rnacentral:rRNA from 1 species
CCUACGGGAGGCAGCAGUGAGGAAUAUUGGUCAAUGGACGAGAGUCUGAACCAGCCAAGUAGCGUGAAGGAUGACUGCCCUAUGGGUUGUAAACUUCUUUUAUAUGGGAAUAAAAUGUUCCACGUGUGGGAUUUUGUAUGUACCAUAUGAAUAGGGAUCGGCUAACUCCGUGCCAGCAGCCGCGGUAAUACGGAGGAUCCGAGCGUUAUCCGGAUUUAUUGGGUUUAAAGGGAGCGUAGGUGGAUUGUUAAGUCAGUUGUGAAAGUUUGCGGCUCAACCGUAAAAUUGCAGUUGAAACUGGCAGUCUUGAGUACAGUAGAGGUGGGCGGAAUUCGUGGUGUAGCGGUGAAAUGCUUAGAUAUCACGAAGAACUCCGAUUGCGAAGGCAGUUCACUGGACUGCAACUGACACUGAGGCUCGAAAGUGUGGGUAUCAAACAGGAUUAGAUACCCCUGUAGUC